CAGAAACAAUACUGGGAAGUCUCCAUCCUUGGUUUGUUUUCACAGGGUCCUGAAGGAGACCUAGGACUACCGGGACUGCCAGGUCCUUCAGGCCUACCAGGCGCCAAAGGUGACAGGGGAUUGGCUGGUGAGCCAGGGCCUAAAGGUGAACAAGGUCCUGCUGGAGGAGAAGGAGAACCAGGAGAAAGGGGUGACCUGGUAAGACAUUAUUUUCACUUAAUCUGUUUUAAGAUGUUCUUUAUGUGAAUGA
rnacentral:lncRNA from 1 species